GUGCUGCGGUUCGUGGGGUUGCAAGGAGUCAGACAGGACUGAGUGACUGAACUGAACUGAAAAAGAAAUGAUACAAAUGAACUUAUUUACAAAGCAGAAACAGACUUCAAAAAGGCAUUUAUGGUUGCCAGAGAAAGGAUAACAGGAAGAGAUACGGAGUUUGGGAUGGACAUGUAUACACUGUGAUAUUUAAAAUGAAUAACCAGCAAGGUCCUACUGAAUAGCAACAUAGACUCCACUCAUUGUUACCUAGCAGCCUGGAUGGGAAGGGAAUUUGGGGGAGAAUGGAUGCAAGUGUAUGUGUGGCUGAGUCCCUUCACUCUUCACUUGAAUCUGUCACAGCAUUGCUAAUCAGCUACACCCCAGUACAAAAUAAAAAGUUAAAAAAAAAUAAAAUGGUGAAUCAACAAGGACCUAUUUGUAUAGCACAGGGAACUCUGUUGAAUAUUAUAUGGCAGCUGGGAUGAGAGGGGAGUCUGGGAGAGAAUGGAUACAUGUUUAUGUAUGACUGAGUCCCUUUGCUGCUCACCUGAAAAUAUCACAACAGUGUUAGUUGGCUAUACUCCAAUACAAGAUAAAAAGUUUAAAAAGAGAGAGAGACUCAUGGGAAGAAUGAUUUCUCUUCUUAGCUUCCCAGGGUUAUCUGUGUGUAGAACCUGGGACUGCAGCAGCCACACUGAGGCCAGGUCUAAGGGUGGCCCACAGGGAAGAGGGGAGCUCUUUCAAGACGCCACUGAAUUCAACCUGGGAGCCUCCCUACCUCCUGACGUCUUAAUAUGUGAGGUAUUAUUAUCUAUUUUCCUUAUUGAUGCUGCCUUUUCAUCUUGGUUCAUCUGUGUUUUGCCACUGGAAGAAUUCCAAUACCCAGUAUAUCAGCAAAAUAGAUACAGAAUUCAGCAUGGCCGUAUUGAGGAUAUCAAUUCAAUUCAAUGCAAUAUCGAUAAAAUGAGAACAAUGUGCCAGGCACAGUAUUAGACACAGAUGAAUAAAACUCCCUUACCAUAAAUUACUCAUAACAAAUCUAUGUGUGUCUGUAUUAGGGGAAGGGGAUAAUUAAAUACAAAAAUUACUAUUCUCAGAAACAGAAUAUAAGUGCCUUGAAAGAGAUAUACGAGGUCAAAAAAGAUAUUGAUAAUAUCAGUUGGGGGAAACUGGGUUAGUCUCCAUGAAGGAAGUAGAAUAGAAGCUGGGUCUUGAAAAGUAGUAGGAUUUUUGGAGACAGUGUGAAGAGCUUCCCAGGUUGGGAAAGAUAGGAAACUGUACUAGGAAAGGCAGAAUCUGGUGAACUGAAUCUAAAGUGAACUGGUCUGGAAAGCCAAGUAGUACAUUUGGUUCAGCUGGCUUAUGGAGCCCAUGUACAGGAGGAGAGGAAAUAAUGUUGAAAAAUUACACUGGGUCAGAUUUGAGACACCUUAAAUACCAGGCCAAACCUGGAUGGGAAGGGAGUUUGUGGGAGAAUGGAUACAUGUAUGUAUGUGGCUGAGGUGCUCUGCUGUGCCCCUGAAACUGUCACAACAUUGUUAACCGGCUAUUCUCCAAUAUAAAAUAAAAAUUAAAAAAAUAAAUAAAUACCAAGCCAAGAAAUGAGGGUCUGCUUAGUUUGCAAAUGGCGGGCUCUGGAAAUUUUCUCAAUAGACAGGUGACAGAAUCAGAGCUGAGUAUGGGAAGAUCCAUUUUUAGUAGAGGGACCAAAGCCUGUUCCAUGUUUUUACCCAAUAAUAACUGUUUCAAUUAUUUGCCACACCCUCAAUACUCACAGACAUUAAUAUAGAUGCACCUAAAGCCUCAGCAAGAACAAACGAGAGAAUUACAUUCUUAGACCCAAGCAUUGGGAAGGAGGUCAUCUAUCCUGACCUUGUACAAACCUUUCCAACCCUUCUUCCUAGACACCACCCCCUUUUAAACUCCCUAUAAUAGAAAGGAGUCCCCAUUCUGUUUAAAAUCUGCCCCCAGAGCCCAUGCUGACACCAAGGGUACAGUGGUUCUCUAUUUUUUAGACUCUAAUGUUUUAUAUAGUGGAGGGCUUCCCUGUGACUCAGAUGGUAAAGAAUCCGCCUACAAUGCAGGGGACCUGGGCUGGAUCCCUGGGUCAGGAAGAUCCCCUGGAGGAGGGCAUGGCAACCCACUCUAGUAUUCUUGCUUGGAGAAUCCCAUGGACAGAGGAGCUUAGUGGGCUACAGUCCAUGGUGUUGCAAAGAAUCAGACACAGCUGAGAGACUAACACUUUUCACUUUCCUCCUAUCGAUCAUGGUACCCUUUGAAGAACAUCAUGAAAUAGUGAUGUGUUUAAGUCCAAAAUACAGCCUAUGGUUUAGCACAAAAUUAUGUAUUUAGCUACUAUAUGCUUAAGUUGCUUAGAAAUGUUAAAUUUAAUUAAAUUUCCAGACACUAACACACAAUAUAAAACCACAACCAUAAGCUCAAACACCUGUCCAUAGAAAAAACAAGCUGUCAAGCUCAGCACUGGCGGCUAUGUCUGGGUCCAUUAAUAUUCAUUCGCUACUUGCUAAUUCUCUCUGUCAUCUGCUAGCACUGGCCAGUGGACAAGCAAUAACAGGUGCCAAAGAUUUAAUAAAAAUGUAGAGAGGAAAAAAAAAACAAAAAGCUGGAGAAAUUCUAUCCAUUAACUUAAUUUUUCUGGGAAUUAACCUAUUUCUUCAUUUAUUCAACAAAGAUUGAUUGAGCAGUUACUGUAUGCCAGGCAGGAUGCCAAGUGGAGGAGACAGACAGAGGUAAGGUGCAAGCCUGCCUUCCAGGAGAUGUCUCUUUGUGGCUACGGUCGAGAAAAUGCUAAUGGGACAAGAGGGAGUAUAUACUGGGGUGGAAACAGAGCAGAGACCGUAAGGAGCCUAGAGCCCAUGGCCAGGCAAGACAUCCUGGAGGAUGAGCCAUGAGAGGUAAGUCUUUCUUUGUUUUUAAUCUUUAUAGAGUUUGCAUUUAUCUAUUUAUUUGUUUGUUUGCUGCUCCUUUUGGCAUGGGGGAUCUUAAUUCCUCUGACCAGAUAUCGUACGCACACCUGCUGCAGUGGAAGCCCAAAAUCUUAACCACUGGAUUGCCAGAGAAGUCCGAAGAGGCAAGUCUUGAAAACAGGCUCAGGUUAUCUCAGCCAGUGCUGGGCAGAGACCAGAGCAAUGUUCAUGGAACCAUCCAGGAGGGCAGGGCCACUACUGGGUUACCAACGUUUACACUUGGUGAGAUUCACGAAAGCAGGAGUCCUAGAGCUGCAGUGGGGAAAAGCUGGAUAAGGCACUGCCGCAGAGCAAAGCAACUGGGACAGAGGUGCUGAGCCUACGUAAAAGGAGUCCAAAGACAAGUGUGUAAUAAUGAAAACUGAGAGAAUAGAAAUGGACGAAAGGUAAAUGUCUAACUAGGAUAAUGUCUAAAUGAGUAAAUAGGAUUUUCAUGCUCUCUGCUGAUGUCUUUCUGCCCAAUAUUUUAUAGUGAAAAAGUUCACAGCUACAGAAAACUAGGAUGAAUAGUGCAGUGAAUAUUCAUGUACCCCUUCCCCAGAUUCACUAGUUAGCAUUUUGCCACAUUUGCUUUUUCCUUUUGGGUAUAUGUGUGCCUGACUGUUGUGGAUGGCUUGUGUGUUUUCAUGAGUGUAUUUGUGUCUGUGUGGGGGUUUUUUUCUAAACUAUUUUGAAGUAAGUUAUAGAUACCAUGACACUUCACUAUGUAACACUAAGAAUAAUGACACUCUCCUAAAAUAUCAUUAUCAUACUGAAGAUAUUUGACAUUAAUGCAAUAGUAUUAUCCAAUAUAGAGCCCAAUUGUCUAAAAAAUAUGUUUUAUAGCAUCUUUAUAAUCCAGGAUCCAAUCAAGUUCGCUCAUUGCAAUUUGGCUCUUGUCUCUUCUGAAUCUCCUUCAAUUUGAAAGAGACCUCUGCCUUUCAACUUCUUUGUCUUAAUGACACCGUAUUAUCAAAGGGUUCAGCUGGUUGUCCUGUGGAAUGUCCCACGGUCUGGGUUUUGUUGAUUGCUUCUUCUUCAUUAUAUUUAGAUUGAAUGUUUGAGGCAACAAUACUACAAGAUGAAGCUCCAUGAACCCCACUGCCCACAACAGGAGGCCACAACAUCAGUUACCCUCAAUGUUUGUGAUGCCAAGUUUAAUAAUUUGGCUAAGGGAACAUCUAUUAGCUCUCUCCAUUGUAAAGACAACUUUUGACCUUUGUAAUUAAUAAUUACACUGUGGGUGUUAAAGUCUUUUUUCUUUUUUGGAGCCAAAAACCAUCUACUUUUCCCAGAUUAAAAAAAAAAAGUCUCCCCUCAAUUGUCCCAUCAAAACCCCCCACUGACAGUUUGGUGAACUCAUAGGUAUCCAAGAGGCUGCUCCUAUAGCAGGAAGAGUCAUGAUUGUGAUAAUGAAUACUCAUAACAUUUCCUUAAGUUUUUGUAGCAUUUUGCAGUUUAUAGAGCAUUUUCACACAUAUUACAGCUUUUUAUUUCCCCCUAAUUUCCUUUUCCUUCAAUAAGAAAGGAGACUGUUUAGAAUCAGUCACUCGUUCAUUCACCCACCCACCCCUUUAUCCCAGUCACAUCCAGGCACUGAGCUAGAGGCAGAGGACUUUCCGAGAUGAGUGAGGGAAUCAGGACUAGGUGAGGAGAUGAAUGCAUAAACCGCAGUAGAGAGACAGGCUUUGGUGUGUAGAACGUGGGGAGGAAAGGAAACCCCUCUUCCCCCAACAAGAGCGAAUCCCAGGCAAGUGGGAGGGGAGCCUCCAGCCUGCCCUGGCCAUUGCCAUAUGGGAAAACAAGUUUCUUCCCCUUUAGAGUCCUCAGUUAGGUUUUCCGUUACUGUUGCCAAAUGUGUGCUACCAGAUACAGUAGCCUCACUUGCAGAUGGGAAAAUUAAGCCCCCAGAAGUAAAAUAGUUUGACCAAAUGACAUUUCGCUUAUAAGUGCGUGGUUCUUGAUCCUGGGGGCCUGAUCCCAAGCCCCACCUCUAUGCUGGUCCCUUAAGAGAAAAGACAAGAGGCUCUCCUGUGGCCUGAGCCUUGGUGCACUCCCUGACUCCCCUCCUCGGCAUGCAGAGCGGAGAUGGCCAGACAGAAGGUGUACUUAUUCAGGCGGUUGAGCAUCAGUCACUUCCUUCCAGGCACUGCGUGAUGGGCAUUUCAGGGCAGAGAGCAAUUUCUUCAAGCUCUGCACUGUUCACACGGACGGAUGCAGUGGGGUAGGGGUGGGGUUACACAGUUGAUCAGCCGGCACAUGAACAGACUAUCUGAAGGUCACGAAGUGCCCUGUGUAAACACAAAUCCAAUGCCUAAGUUUUGGAGAGACUGAAUGGGUGUGUAAAAAACAAACAAACAACUGAGCGGCUCCAGGGACAGGGUUAAUGGGUGGGAGGAAUCUAUUGGUCUUGGGGCGGGAGAGUAGGCUCACUGUAGCAAAGAGUGAGGCUCAGCCACCAGCUGUGAGUUUGAAGUACGGGGGCAAUUAGGCUUGAGCUAUUUGCAGACAGAGAAAAGGUGAGCCCAGCGGCUCAGUUCCAGGUGCAGCCUUGAUGCUAAGAAUUGUCACCCUCAACAGAGGCUGCGAAAUGAGGCACAGGGUUAUCUUUGUGAACGCAGGGCCCAGAGUCGGAAGCAUUGAAAGUACAUCUUCUGAGCUUUAAAAGAGACACCAUAUAUUUAAACAUGAAAGUCAAGAAUUCUAAACCAUUGGCUGCUAAUUGUCCCAUUUCCCUUUAAGUUUUAGUAGAGUCUGCUGAUGCAGCCUGUAUUUGUGGUGGUGGGGUAUGUGUGUGGGGUGGGGGAGGUAGCAAGAGGGGGGAAAAUGUGGCAUUUUUGCCAGCAUUUGCCUUUUUUUUUUUUUAUUUUGGUCUUUUUUUUCCUGCUGUUCUCCACCCCUACAAUAAACUGAAGCAGUGUAAGUUACAAUUUAUUAGCUGGUUGCUAUGGGUUACACCAGUGCUCCACAGAUAUUCCCUUCAGAAAUAGUAACAUUUAAUGUAAUGUAAAACAGAACUACUGUAUCACCACUUGGUUUGCUUCUGCUGGCUUGCAAUAUUAUAUCCUUCCCUGCUGAGACUGAAGCCUCGGGAAAUUAGCUGGUGCCAUUAUUUUAUUACGAUGAUGGGUGUCUGCCCUACCCCUUGUUUCAUGAAAAAGAGAGUUUGCAAACCGAGAGUAUCGGCAGGAUCUGGGGUGCUAACUUGCAGGGCCACGCAGUGUCUGGGGACAGAGUGUCUGUUUCAUCUUCCUGUUCAUUAUUUAAGGCCGUCUUCUCAAAGCUGAGUCCCUGUAAGCCCAAGGCCACUUACCAUUUCAGGGAGGCUAGUUGUAACUACUGAUGUGUUUCAUUUAGUUUGCUAUCUGUAUAAUAUUUGUAGCAGACUGGUUAACAAAAAUUUGUGGGCUGGUAAAUUUUUAGGAUAAUAUUUAGCUGCGAGGGUGAUUUAUAAGGAAAUUGUUAGGAGAUGGCAACCCCGACUAGAGUCUUAAAAUAAACCCAGUAUAAGAGAGAGAGGUAUUUCCAGGUCACCUACAUUCUCUUUUCUUCCUUCUGUCUCCGUCAACCACCCACCUCAUCACUACCCCAUCCAGAGCACACCUUCUACCAAUUGCUUCUUGCUUCUGCUCACGGAGCUGUGUCUCUUUCACAUGUGGGUUACUGGGUCGAAAUACAAUUGUAUAGGGUUUGCUUCUGCAGGAAGAGUGCUGGGAUGGAUGAUAGAAAGAAUAUGGGAUCUAGAGCCAGAUGCACCAUGUUCGAAGCCUGACUCUGCAACUUUCUGGCUGCAUGACAUUGAGUAAGUCCCAACUAUUUGGAGCCUCAGUUUUCAUAUAGUAAAACAAUAUUUGCCUUGAAUGCACAUCCUUAGGAUGAGAGGGGGAAGGUAUGUUAAAUCACUUAGCAUAGUGCCGGCUCAUUGUACGUAUUUUAAAAGUGGUCCCACUUACAGUUUUACUUCUCUGGAAUGUGGGAUAUUAUCGUUCCCUCUGCCAUAUUGUCCAUCUUGGGCAACUCAUGCUUUUCGUUCAAGACUCAUUCUCAUACCACCUCUUCUGUCGUCACCCUCCCAUCUCCUGCUUUCAGACACUCUGUUCCUCCUGCUCUCAGCUCCGAGUGGCAUCUCAUGUACCCCUGUCAUAGCAAGUACCUUCCGGAUUGCCAGUCUGUUCACAAGCCUUCCUCCUGAGGGCUCUAGGCUCCUUCAGGAUCAGGACCUUGCCUCAUCCAUCUCUCUUCCCAGCAUAGAGGUUUUCUUUCUUUUUUAAAAAAAAAAAAUGUGUAUUUAUUUGGCUGCACCGGGUCUUAGUUGCAGCAUGCAGGAUCUUCAAUCUUUGUUGCAUCGUGCAGAAUCCUCAGUGGCAGCACACAGCAUCUUUAGCUUCGGCAUGAGAUCUCUUAAUUGUGGCACGUGGGAUCUAGUUCCCUGACUGUGGAUCGAACCCAGGCCCUCUGCACUGGGAGGUCAGAGACUUAGUCUCUGAACCAUCAGGACAAAACCCAGCACAGAAGUUUUCAGUGAAGUUUGUCAGUUGUAUGGAUGACGUAAGGAAAGACUAGUUCUUCAUUCAUGUCCACUUGACACCCCACCUAGGGCAGCCCCUAGGACCAAGGAACAGCGUAUGCCAUAGUCUCUAUGGUUCAAAAGCCUUUGGCACCAAGUAACAAAAGACACCGCUCACCAUGACUUAAAAAUGAGAACAUUUAUUUUGCCCCAGAACAGGGAGUAUUGUUCUUCAGCAGUGCCAUGGAGGACCCUGGACCUUCAGCUGCAGAAGGCAUGGUACUUAGAUCAAACAACAGGAUCUGCUGCUCUUUUUUAAUGAAGGAAAAACCUUUUUCAGCGCCUCGGGCCCUCACCUAAUUAGACUUCUGCUCAAGUUUCUGGUCAAAAUUCUGUCACUUAUCCUUCUGAAGCCAAUUACUGGCAUGGGUUAAGGGACACCAUAGCAGCUCAUAACUCAUGUCAGUGAGCAGCAAAGGCUGUCAGACAACACUGAGGUUCCGUGGAAAAGGGAGAAGCAUAGGGGCACAGUUACUGUGGAUAAGUGACCACAGAGCCGCUGCAGAGGCGUCCAUUCAUUCAUUUAUUCAUUCGACAGAUACGUGUUAAGUGCCUACCAUGUAGCAGGAAUGGUGCUGGAAGCUGUGAACACUUGUGGACAGGAAACAAAAGACCUCUCCCUGCAGAGAGCUACCAUUCCAGUGGGGGACAGGACAGUGAACAUGUCAACAGAUGAACAGGAGAAUUACAGAUUUCUGGGAGUGUCAACAAAGAAAUAAACAGGGCGGUGGAGCAGAGAGAGAACAAGGGCUACAGUGGCCUGGGUGGUCAGGAGGGCCUCUCUGAGAAAGUGACAUCUGACGAACAGGGAGCACAGGUUAGGGGAAAGUCAGGAGGAGGAGUAGUCCCGGAACAGAGGCUGCAAGUGCAAAGGCCCUGAGGCAGGAGUGAGGUGUCUGGCAGAAGCAAGGUCUGUGCCUAACGGCUGAUCAAAUGUUCUUCCUGGAACCCAACCCGGCUCUCCCCGCGGCUGGAAACAGAUCAUUGGCAACAACUCCGGCUUCCCAAAGCCUCUCCUGCCCAGACUUGCAGCCCCUCCCAGGUCAGGGGCACAGCUGCUGAGGCCGCAGGACAAUAGGCUCAGCUGUGGGCUCCGCCUGUGGAGUGAGGGAAAGCCACGUGACUAUGAUGAGGGACCCACCCGAGGUGUCUGCCUAAACUGUGUAGCAGAGACUUCCUUGGCCACAUCUCCCUGUGGACAUGAGGAUGGGGUAUGAACAGACAGGGGCAAGGUAAACAUAGAACUGCUUUCUGUGUCUCCCACAGGCUCACGGGCUUUCCCCUCGUGGCAGGGCCAGCCCAGCUGCUCUUCCCACAAGUGGAGGCAGGACAAGCCUGCUGCUGGGUGUGCCAGCUCUGUGCCAUGAGGAAGUGUUGGCUUAGGGAUCUCUCCCACUUUCUGUAGCCCAGCUCUGCCUCUGACCUGCCUUCAGGGCUGCGGCAGGGAAGGGUGGGGCUCAGAUCACCCCAUUUCCACAGGUGGGCCUUCUGGAGUGGCUGAAGCUCCUACUCCCUGCCCCCUGUUCCUUGGAGCAGAGUUUCAGGAAGCCAAAUGGGCUUUUGGCCCAAGAGACCAGACAUGAAAUGAAACCUGUUUUCCAACGGCAUUCUUCUGGCUUUUCCUUCAAGUGGGAUUUUUGACUGUAGGAUUGGGUUUAAACACUGAAUUUCAAUUUUGUACACACUCACCAAGAGGCCCUGGGGCAGUGGGGGCGUUGGAAAUGAACACCAGCCUGAGUCCUCUACCUGCCAAGCGUUCGAUUAAGCUGCUUAGGUCUGUUUCCACCAUCCUGUCUUUCAAAUAUUUAUGUGGCAGAUUAUAGGCAAGCUUCAAAGGCAAGGAAAUGCAAAUCUGUUCUAUAAAUCAUAGAAUAACACAGCUGCUGUCUUCCUCGGAGUGACAGCUUACGAAUGCCAGUGUUUCUGCCUGUGGAAGGGUGGUGGGAGAUGGGUUUCUUGCCCUCAGCCAGGCCUGGAGUGUGUGUGUGUGUGUGUGUGUGUGUGUGUGUGUGUGUGUUGGAGAUGGCGGAGGGAGUGGGAAAUUCUUUGCCUUUUUGUAGAAUACCAGGUUUUAUUUUUUGGUUUUGUGUGUGUGUAUGUGUGUGUUUUUAAUUUCCCAGCAGUGAAGGAGCUAACUCAUUCCAGAAACCCUAGCAAAUUGCCAAGGGAUAGAAACUCUGCAGGGAUCUGAGGCACUGAGGAACCUAGAGAUGGGGGUGGCUUUCAGUUUUGGGGGAAAUGUAUCUAAAUGGGCUUCUUCAUAGGCUCAGCAGGUUAAAAAAAAAUCUGCCUGCAAUGAAGGAGACACAGGAGACGUGGGUUCAAUCCUUGGAUUGGGAAGGUCCCCUGGAGGAGGAAAUGGCAACCCACUCCAGUAUUCUCGCCUGAAAAAUCCCAUGGACAGAGGAGCCUGGCAGGCUACAGUCCAUGGGAUCACAAAGAGUUGGACAUGACUGAGGGUCUAAGCAUGCAUAUGCCUAGAAUAUGAAGUGGGAGUGGGGAAAAAUCAACAAGCAAUAACUCUGAGAAUUCCAAAAUGAAUUUAAUUUAGUCAAAAUGAGUAAAAUGGAAAUCGUGCAUUGCAAAUAGUCAUGCACAUUAAGCUCUGCCCCGGGGUCUUAACAAUCUGCCAGGAGAGGCCCAGGGAGCUGAAGAUUAGACUUUCGUGGGCUCUUUUUGGCUGCUGCCAUGAACACAUGGAUCUGGUACACUGGUGUUCAGUGACACAUUCACACCCAUCCAGACCAAUGCUGGGGUUUAUGGUCCUUGUCCAGAAGCUGAUUCUGGCCUGGUGUCACGCUGGGGAAGCGCCUGGGGAAGGCUUCAGUCAAAGGGGUGCAGAAGCCCCAGGGAAGUGUACACGGGGAAACGUGUUGGGAAAAGGUUUGCUGGCUAUUAGUCAGAGUUCUGCUGAAAGUGACUCAAACUCACUUAAGCAAGAGGGGAAUUUUCAGGGUCACAGAAGGGAGUGUUAAAUAACCAAAUCAUGGGAAUGAAAGGGGAUGUAGCUGGGCUUGGGAAUAGUUGGAAGAGUUGGAGCACCGCCAGAGCUCUCUUCUAUCACCUGUCUUUAAUUUUCCUCUGUGCUGGUUCUAGCACAGCUGACAACAGCUAGCAGAUUCUGUACCUAACACCUUUACCACUAUAAAAACAAUUCUGUAUGAAUUCCUUUUGCCCUGAUCAAGUACGCCAGGCUCCUCUGUCCAUGGGGAUUCUCCAAGCAAGAAUACUGGAGUGGGUUGCCAUGCCCUCCUCCAGGGGAUCUUCCCCACCCAGGGAUUGAACCUGCACGUUUUAUGUCUCUUGCAUUGGCAGGUGGGUUUUCUAUCACUAGCACCACUUGGGAAGCCAAAGUUAUCUCAGGGAAGAACUAUGACUGACCCAACUGGGAUCCAGUGUUACUGCAUCAACCAGUGAACUGUAGGGAGGGAGAAUGGGGUCAUAUAAAAACAUGGCGGUUCUUAUGGACCUCAUAUCGAUAAGGAGAGGCCUUUUUAGCAAAAGGAAUGGAUAAGCUUUUGACAGACAAUCCAUCAACAUUACUACAGCCAAGAGAGGACUGGAAAAAAGACCAGGGAAGAUAAUGUGAUGAAUGAAUUAUAUAUUGGAAUUCCACUAACCUCCUACUUGAAGCUCAGUAUUCCAUAGGAAUACUUAAGCCACUUAUACCUUAAUGCAACUAAAUCCUCCUGAUUCUUCUUCUUUUUUUCCUCCCUUACAGCUCUAAUUUUUUUUCUCCUUGGUUGCCCUGGAUCCUCCUCUUCUCUGAAUUAAGAUUUUCUUAAGACUGAAGACCCUAGAAGAGACCAUAGAGUCCUUCCUUCCAUUCAUAGAAAUCACUCGCUGUCUCAACCUUCCCAUUAUCUUCCAGAAGAAAUCUACACAUAAAUUUCUAUUAGCUACGCAAAGCUUGCUCCUUGAAUCAUCCAUAUCAGAAUCACCUGGAAACUUCUGAGAGCUGCAGAAACUUGGGACUUGUCCCAAAACUGCUGAAUCAAUCUACAUUACAGCAGGAUGACCUGGCAAGUUCAUUAAACUGAAACACAUUGCUUUAAGCAAUUGCUAAUUGAUCACAUAGCCUUUCUGCUCUCGACAGCUAAAUAAAUAUUUCUUCACAAUUGUCCCAUGAGGUCAAAAGCAACUACAUCUAAAAGCUCAGACUCACAACAACACUCAGCUUUAUUUUUCUCAAUACUUGUUUUUCCUACCUAUAUCCAGUCCAUCUCCAACUGGUGCCUAAUCAUCCCACCGUCUCAUUGGUCUGCUUCUCCUAAUCACCUAGAGCAGGCUCUAACAAUCGCAAAUGCUACUCAUUUAUAGAGCAGGCCUAGGGACUUCCCUGGUGGUCCAAUGGUUAAAACUCUCUUCCUCCAAUGCUGGGGGGCGUGGGUUUCAAUCCCUGCUCAAGGAACUGGAUCCUGCAUGUUGCAAGUAAGACCCGGCACAGUCAAAUAAAUAAAUUAAAAUAAAUAUUUUAAAAAAGAAGCCUAAUAGUACUAUGCCUAAUUUACAUAUUCACAUACUACACACAUUUAAUGUUCAAUUAUUUUCAUCCUGCUAAGAGCAUUUUCAGCCACAGCUUUGUGAGCAGCUAUAAGGGAUAUUGCAAACAAUAUAUUGUUAAUUAUAAGGUAUCAUAAUUUACAAACAAUUUAUAUUCUUCAAUAUAUUCGAUGGGAUUAAAGAUUAUUUCUAAAAUUAUUCUAACCAACCUGCAUUCUAAUGUGCUAUAAAAGAAAUAUACAGAGAAAUUGGUGGAAUAAUACCUAUUGGACCAGGAAUUGUAUACAAGAGCAUGUCUUAUAUAUAAACAUCAUCUAUCACAAAGACCUUGGAGAAGGAAAUGGCAACCCACUCCAAUAUUCUUGCCUGGAGAAUCCCAUGGACAGAGGAGCCUGGUGGGCUGCUGUC